AGUGAACGCUGGCGGUAGGCCUAACACAUGCGAGUCGAACGGCAGCACAGUAAGAGCUUGCUCUUACGGGUGGCGGGGGGCGGGCGGGUGAGAAAUACAUCGGAAUCUACUUAUACGUGGGUGACAACGGGGGGAAACUGACGCUAAUGCCGCAUACGACCUACGGGAGAAAUCAGUAGUUCAUCGGACUUUGCCCGUUAGAAUUAGCCGAAGCCGGAUUAGCUAGUUGGCGGGGUAAGGGCACACCAAGGCGACGAGCCGUAGCUGGCCUGAGAGGAUGAUCGGCCACACUGGAACUGAGACACGGUCCAGACUCCUACGGGAGGCAGCAGUGGGGAAUCUUGCACAAUGGGCGCAAGCCUGAUCCAGCCAUGCCGCGUGGGUGAAGAAGGUCUUCGGAUCGUAAAGCUCUUUUAUUAGGAAAGAACAGCAGCGUGUUUAUCCCCCGCUGUCUUGACGGUACCCAAACAAUAAGCCCCGGCUAACUUCGUG
rnacentral:rRNA from 1 species